rnacentral:rRNA from 1 species
UACCAGCACCCCGAGUGGUCGGGACGAUUAUUGGGCCUAAAGCAUCCGUAGCCGGUCCUACAAGUCUUCCGUUAAAUCCAGCUGCUUAACAGAUGGGCUGCGGAAGAUACUAUGGAGCUAGGAGGCGGGAGAGGCAAGCGGUACUCGAUGGGUAGGGGUAAAAUCCGUUGAUCCAUUGAAGACCACCAGUGGCGAAGGCGGCUUGCCAGAACGCGCUCGACGGUGAGGGAUGAAAGCUGGGGGGAGCAAACCGG